GAAUUUUUACGAAUUUUAACGAAUUUUUGUGAAGUUUCUUGUGUCCGAAUCUGUAAAAUCAAAAAACGUGAAUUUUUUUAAUCAAAUUUCAACGAAUUUUCCCGAAUUUCAACGAAUUUUCCCGAAUUUCAACGAAUUUUCCUGAAGUUUUUCGUGUCCGAAUCUGUGAAGAAGUUCUUCUUGAAGGUCAACAGACGAUUACUUCCUGGAAAGUGGUUUUCAAGUCAAUUUUUCAAUUCAAUUUUCAAGAUGAUUCCUUACAAUGAACCUGAACCGUUAAGUCAAGCCACCAAAGCUCAAAUAAUGAGACUGGUCAAUCAUUACGUACAUAGAGAAAAACAGACCAUUAUUUUCUACGAUGACCAUGAUACAUGGGAUCUUGCGCACCCAGACGUUGCAGGGUACCAUGUACCCUUCUUUAAUGUGACCUGGGAUGAAAUUGACGAUGUUCAAAGGACAAUGAACAAACUUUUCUAUUAUUUAGGCAUUGAAGCCUAUGUAUUUUUCAUAACUGUGCCAAAUAAAAUUUUCGUUUUCGAUGUAAUAAUUUCAAACGAACGAAUUCUGCCCGAAUUAUUAUUGAAACCUGGGCAAUGAAACCAAAAAUGGAAAAAUGAAAAAUUCUACUUUUUUUGCUAUGUUAUUUUUUCAAUAUUUUUAUGCUAGUUUUUUAUUAUAUCAAGCAUGUACAUAGGUAGCUUUUAAUUAUAAGUAGGGCAACCCAAAAUAUGCUCUCAUUCAAGGUAAAGUACCUAUUGAAUAGGAAUUAUAUUCGAUUUUUCUUUGGAAUGAAACAUUUCCAAAAUAUUCAUAUACCCUACUUGAAAAUUUGAAUACAAAUGGGUAUCGUUUUCACUCGUUUUGAUGAGCACAAUUCAUAAUCAUUAAUUUUAAAUUCGUCAUUCCAUCAAUCAGCAAAUCAUAAUCAUCAAAAAACGACUGUGAACAUGACAUUUGCGAUCUUCCGAUCCUAAAACUGCUCAAAAUAUUCAAUAAAUUGUGAAAUAUGACGAUUUUCAGCAGAAAAUAUUCAGAAAUCUUUAAAUUGAGCUCAUUACAAAAAAAAAAAACAUUCAAAAAAUAUAUUGGGUUGUCCCCAUGAAUAACAAACAGUAGUUUUUCUUAUUGUAUAAUUUAUUCUAUAAAAAUACGUAUAAAAAACAAAAAAAAAACAAUUAGUUUAAAUACAUACAUAUCUAAUAACUGUACAAAAAUUAAUAUUUUACCUUUUUUUUUACAGGUUAAUUAAAAUUACUUUUUACAAUUUUUUUUUCUCACUCUUUCUUCGGACUUGCUUGAUAUCAACUCAAACGUUUGAACGGUGCCUCUGAAAAUUACAAAAACAAAUACCUCAAUAAAAAUAAAACAAAACAAAAAAAUUGUGAUUGAAAAAAUAAAUAAAUCAAAUAAACAAAUAAAAGAACCUUUUUUGGAAAAAACAAAUGACAAAAAAAAAACCAUAAAAACUUCGAAAACAAAAUUCUAAAUUUAAAAAAAAAAAAAAAAAAAAAAAGGAAAAUAAA